UAAUACAGAGGGUGCGAGCGUUAAUCGGAAUUACUGGGCGUAAAGGGUGCGUAGGUGGUCAGCUAAGUGAGGUGUGAAAGUCCCGGGCUUAACCUGGGGAGGUCAUUUCAUACUGGUUGACUAGAGUAGGGUAGAGGGAGGUGGAAUUUCCGGCGUAGCGGUGAAAUGCGUAGAUUUCGGAAGGAACACCGGUGGCGAAGGCGGCCUCCUGGACCCAUACUGACACUGAGGCACGAAAGCGUGGGUAGCAAACAGGAUUAGAUACCCUGGUAGUCCACGCCGUAAACGAUGAGAACUAGAUGUUGUGUGAGAUUUAAUCUCAUCAGUAUCGUAGCUAACGCGUUAAGUUCUCCGCCUGGGGAGUACGGCCGCAAGGUUA
rnacentral:rRNA from 1 species